GGUAUAUAAAAUAUAAUUUAUUUAUUUAUUAAAAUAAAAUUCAUUUUAAAUAAAAAUAUUAAAUCACAAUUUCCCCCAAUUCUUAAACCCUCGCGCAAACUUCACCCUCACCCUUCGCUCACGAUUUUGACAUCCAUCCUCAAUCCAACCACCACGUUCCAUAUCCGAACAUCGUCGACCAUCUCCAACAGACACAUAAUGGGAGUCAACAAAUCAAGAGCUUAGAGAUUCAAGAGAUUAAGCUUUUACAGCUUCCUUCUGUUUGUCACUUGAAAAGCUUUAGUGCUAUUGUCCAAGUUCUGGAGCCCUAGUUGAGGCUUAAGUUCACUAUCCGUACGUUGCUUCAUUUCCCCGAUCAAAACCAUUGAAUCUGCUUCGUUGUAUUGUAAUUCUCUCUGCAAGACGAAUACCACACAGUGACAGAUGGAUCAGAUUCAGUACUCUGAGAAGUACUUCGACGACAUUUAUGAGUACAGGCACGUGGUUCUCCCACCCGAAGUGGCUAAGUUGCUUCCUAAGAAUCGUCUGCUAUCGGAAGUAAGCAAUUUUGUUUUCUUAGUUUCAAAUUUAUGUGUCUCGAUUUUGUUACGAAAGGAAGUAUUAUCUGAUUGAUUGGGAAGAAACUUAGUUCAGUAGUUGAAUUCUUAUUUCCGGUUUAGGUAUCACUCUUGAGAGACCCUAUGAAAUAGAUAUUAUUCCGUGGACAGUUUUUCCCCUAUUUCUAAUCUUUUAUAUUUUCAUAUGAUCUUGAUAUUCUCUCUUUGAUUUGGCUGAUGGUUGCAUGAAGUUGAAACAAUGUUUUUGAGUAUUUCAGAUAGAAGUUA